UACGGAGGGUGCAAGCGUUAUCCGGAUUUACUGGGUUUAAAGGGUGCGUAGGUGGGUAGGUAAGUCAGUGGUGAAAUCUUCGGGCUUAACCCGGAAACUGCCAUUGAUACUAUUUAUCUUGAAUACUUUGGAGGUAAGCGGAAUAUGUCAUGUAGCGGUGAAAUGCUUAGAUAUGACAUAGAACACCAAUUGCGAAGGCAGCUUACUACGCAGUUAUUGACACUGAGGCACGAAAGCGUGGGGAUCAAACAGG
rnacentral:rRNA from 1 species